rnacentral:miRNA from 10 species
ACGUGUAUUCUUAGGUAAAUAAU